UGCCAGACUCCUACGGGAGGCAGCAGUGGGGAAUAUUGCACAAUGGGGGAAACCCUGAUGCAGCGACGCCGCGUGAGUGAAGAAGUAAUUCGUUAUGUAAAGCUCUAUCAGCAGGGAAGAAAAUGACGGUACCUGAGUAAGAAGCCCCGGCUAACUACGUGCCAGCAGCCGCGGUAAUACGUAGGGGGCAAGCGUUAUCCGGAUUUACUGGGUGUAAAGGGAGCGUAGACGGCCAUGCAAGCCAGGGGUGAAAGCCCGGGGCCCAACCCCGGGACUGCCCUUGGAACUGCAUGGCUGGAGUGCGGGAGGGGCAGGCGGAAUUCCUGGUGUAGCGGUGAAAUGCGUAGAUAUUAGGAGGAACACCAGUGGCGAAGGCGGCCUGCUGGACGACAACUGACGGUGAGGCGCGAAAGCGUGGGGAGCAAACAGGAUUAGAUACCCUGGUAA
rnacentral:rRNA from 1 species